AUUGAACGCUGGCGGCAGGCUUGACACAUGCAAGUCGAGCGGGGUGAUGGUGCUUGCACUAUCACUUAGCGGCGGACGGGUGAGUAAUGCUUAGGAAUCUGCCUAUUAGUAGGGGACAACAUCUCGAAAGGGAUGCUAAUACCGCAUACGUCCUACGGGAGAAAGCAGGGGAUCACUUGUGACCUUGCGCUAAUAGAUGAGCCUAAGUCGGAUUAGCUAGUUGGUGGGGUAAAGGCCUACCAAGGCGCCGAUCUGUAGCGGGUCUGAGAGGAUGAUCCGCCACACUGGGGCUGAGACACGGCCCAGACUCCUACGGGAGGCAGCAGUGGGGAAUAUUGGACAAUGGGGGGAACCCUGAUCCAGCCAUGCCGCGUGUGUGAAGAAGGCCUUAUGGUUGUAAAGCACUUUAAGCGAGGAGGAGGCUCUUUUGGUUAAUACCCAAGAUGAGUGGACGUUACUCGCAGAAUAAGCACCGGCUAACUCUGUGCCAGCCGCCGCCGUAA
rnacentral:rRNA from 1 species